rnacentral:rRNA from 1 species
GUCGAGAAUCUUUCACAAUGGGGGCAACCCUGAUGGAGCGACGCCGCGUGGAGGAUAAGGUCUUCGGAUUGUAAACUCCUGUCAUGCGUGAACAAGGUUGCUUGGUUAAUACCUGGGCAAAUUGAUGGUAACGCAAGAGGAAGAGACGGCUAACUCUGUGCCAGCAGCCGCGGUAAUACAGAGGUCUCAAGCGUUGUUCGGAAUCACUGGGCGUAAAGGGUGCGUAGGUGGCGUGGUAAGUCAGAUGUGAAAGCCCGGGGCUCAACAUCGUAACUGCAUCCGAUACUGCCAUGCUAGAGUACUGGAGAGGUGACUAGAAUUCUCGGUGUAGCAGUGAAAUGCGUAGAUAUCGAGAGGAAUACCAAAGGCGUAGGCAGGUCACUGGACAGUUACUGACACUGAGGCACGAAGGCCAGGGGAGCGAACGGGAUUAGAUACCCGAGUAGUCC